rnacentral:lncRNA from 1 species
GAAACAAAUGAUGGACACAAAUGACAUCACCGAAUACGGGUACCAGAACCAUCAGAAGUUUUCUGCAUUACAUUGAAUCUGGUUUGAAGCCUUGAGAUAUGAGAUCUGCCCAAUAUCCGUCAUCAUGAGGGACCCACAGGUAGAGAUCAGGGCAGGUGAGCUCACGAACUUAGAGAAAAGACAUCUAGCUGCCAAGGCAGCGUUGUAAAUCCAGCUACUCAUUGCUCAAGCACAAGCCUUCCUUCAAGACCGGCAACUCCUCUCUCCUCACAGCCCGCAAAGAGGCAGGAUUGUUCUGCUGCAGCUCCAGUAUGUCUGCUUUUGAGACCCUCUCCACCAGACUCCUCGGGGUACCCUGGCAUGUCCUCAUCUAGACAACUGGAUAAUGCGCAAACAUCAUGUUCUGCCAAGAGUUUAGAAGUAGACGGGGGUUAGAGAUGUCUCUCCACCUUGCUACCAAGUCAGGUCCCUUUGGGGACAGGAAGUGAAGAGCUAUUAGUGUUUACAACUGGACAACAGGCAUAAACCAAAACUGUGCAGGCAGAGAAGGUCCUACGUCACUGCCUUCAUGAGGGAAAUUGAUCUCAGCAAAACCUGGCUGCACUUGCAGACACUUGACGGCAAACAAAACAGACAGAACUUGUUAGGGGUAAUCUCUCGGCAAGUCUUUCUGAAGAAAGUUCCAGGCAGCGACCCUGCUCACUCCAUCCUGGGAAGUCUCUGGGGUCCCCUGGGGUCCCCUAGAGUCCCCAGUAUCACGCUUUUUCGCUGCUGGAGCAUUUGUUUUAAGAGAUUCUGCGUGCUGCCCAGAAGUGAGCUGGACCUUCAUUCGUGUGUAUGUUCAUUCAUUCCCACAUUUAACAGGUAUGUAUUGAGUGCCCAAAGCCCGCUGCGUCCUGGUCUAGGUGCUUUUCAUACCUCAGGGAGCAAAGAACAAGAACCCUGCCCCCUGCCACUUGGCAUCAUGGCCAUCCUAGUGGGUGGUGAGGAUGAUAAGAGAGGCAAGACAUUUCAGGCAAGAAGAAGAGCACAGGCUAGAGGCAAGAGUCAGAAGACAGCCUGGCAGUUCCCAGGAAAGAACUGCAAACUCUUCAAAAGUGCUGGAAGAUAACCAACAAGGUGAGGGGCAGCUGGGUGUCGGGAGGCGGGGUGGUCUCAUCAAAAGGCUCUGGGUGCUCCUGGGCUGGCCAUGGCUCUUACAUCUAAUGUUCAAAUAUUUGUUGAAAUAAAGUAAAAAAGCUACGACACAUCAUUCAAAUUUUGAGAGGUAUAGUAGUUCUUGCAAAAAUUAGGAGUAUUUGGGAAUUUGGUAGUUUUUUGGUUUUGUUUUGUCUUGUUUUUUUGGUUGCACCCAUGGCAUGCUAAAGUUCCCGGGGCCAGAGAUCGAAUCCACACCACAGCAACAAUCUGAUCUACAACUGUGACAAUGCUGGAUCCUUAACCUGCUGAGCCACCAGGGAACUCCCUGGUAGUUUUUUUGAUGAAUGCAAGAAGGAAUGAGUGACAUAAGGAAUUAGAACAGUUGGAUUUGAAUUUUCACAUGAUGAUUAUUGUGUCCGUUGAGAAAGUAGAUUUGGAUAGAAACACAUCAGAAAGGAGGUGACCAGGUAAGAAGGGAGCCCCAGGAAGGAAUGAUAAGGGUGAGAAUCAGGGGCCAGUGUUGGCCUGGGGACUCCACUUAAGGGAGCCCCAGCAAAGCACCCACUGGAACUUAAGCCAACACUGCUCCCUGGAGUUGUGCGGUGGGCUGGCCUUGAGGGUGAACUACAGCAGGGACAGUGGAAAUGAAAAGUGGGAGCAAGUUAAAAGGUAUUUGGGUGAUUAAAACAGACUGGGUCCGCUGACUAGCUGUUAUUUAUUUAUUUUUUUCGUAAAGUUUAGGGCUAAUGACAGAAGUACUAAAAAUCACUCACAGCUUUCCCUAAAAUUUUAUUUGAGUGACCAUAGUGUCAAUUUGUGGGUUAACUUUAUCAAAUCAUAGAACACAGACACAACUUCGAAAAACUGAAAAGGCAUUUUUUCCACUUGUUAUUUACUGAAAGGCUAAUAAACACGAAGGCUGUUUCUAUAUCUGUCUCUGCCAGCUGAGUCCAAUGGACAAUUUAUUUCCUCCCUGAAGAGUCUGAAUUUACCAUGAUUUGCCCCUGGCUAUUCCCACUGUCCUUUCUUUACCUAAAAAUUCACAUAUACUUACUAUUUUGUCAUGCAUUGCUUUCUAAUCAUUUCUUGCUAGCUGUGGUCAAGUACCCAACAUUUCUCUUAUAAUCACCAUGAUGGUUGUAAGGUUAGAGGUUAGAGGUCAGAGGUAGGUUAAUGUAAGGUGGGUGAGGCCAUGAAAUUAAUGUAAUUAAUCUCAUCAUUCAAGUGUUGCAAGAGCAAAACCUUCGUCCUCAGAAAAAUCUUUAAUGUUUAAAAUUGAUAUUUUCUGUCAAGCGAUUUUUGAAAUGUCUUCGUGUAAAAAUUAAGGUGUUAGAAAAGAGAGUAAAUGUCUUCUCAUCUUUAGGAUUUAGCAUUAGGAUGAUAAAAAGUCACUGAUCUGUUCUUUUGGGGGCCGUUUAAUUUUUUCAUCUCUAAAGUUUAUUGCAAG